rnacentral:rRNA from 1 species
GAUGAACGCUGGCGGCGUGCUUAACACAUGCAAGUCGAACGGUGAAAGAGAGCUUGCUCUCUGGAUCAGUGGCGAACGGGUGAGUAACACGUGAGCAAUCUGCCCCUGACUCUGGGAUAAGCGCUGGAAACGGCGUCUAAUACCGGAUACGAGCUGCGAAGGCAUCUUCAGCAGCUGGAAAGAACUUCGGUCAGGGAUGAGCUCGCGGCCUAUCAGCUAGUUGGUGAGGUAACGGCUCACCAAGGCGUCGACGGGUAGCCGGCCUGGGAGGGUGACCGGCCGCACUGGGCCUGAGACACGGCCCAGACUCCUACGGGAGGCAGCCGUGGGGAAUAUUGCACAAUGGGCGAAAGCCUGAUGCAGCAACGCCGCGUGCAGGACGACGGCCUUCGGGUUGUAAACCUCUUUUAGCAGGGAAGAAGCGAAAGUGACGGUACCUGCAGAAAAAGCACCGGCUAACUACGUG